UGGGGAAUAUUGCACAAUGGGCGAAAGCCUGAUGCAGCCAUGCCGCGUGUAUGAAGAAGGCCUUCGGGUUGUAAAGUACUUUCAGUUGUGAGGAAGGGGGUGUCGUUAAUAGCGGCAUCUCUUGACGUUAGCAACAGAAGAAGCACCGGCUAACUCCGUGCCAGCAGCCGCGGUAAUACGGAGGGUGCGAGCGUUAAUCGGAAUUACUGGGCGUAAAGCGCAUGCAGGUGGUUCAUUAAGUCAGAUGUGAAAGCCCGGGGCUCAACCUCGGAACUGCAUUUGAAACUGGUGAACUAGAGUACUGUAGAGGGGGGUAGAAUUUCAGGUGUAGCGGUGAAAUGCGUAGAGAUCUGAAGGAAUACCAGUGGCGAAGGCGGCCCCCUGGACAGAUACUGACACUCAGAUGCGAAAGCGUGGGGAGCAAACAGGAUUAGAUACCCUGGUAGUCCACGCCGUAAACGAUGUCUACUUGGAGGUUGUGGCCUUGAGCCGUGGCUUUCGGAGCUAACGCGUUAA
rnacentral:rRNA from 1 species